rnacentral:rRNA from 1 species
AUUGAACGCUGGCGGCAUGCUUUACACAUGCAAGUCGAACGGCAGCGCGGGCUUCGGCCUGGCGGCGAGUGGCGAACGGGUGAGUAAUGCAUCGGAACGUGCCCAGUAGUGGGGGAUAGCCCGGCGAAAGCCGGAUUAAUACCGCAUACGACCUGAGGGUGAAAGCGGGGGACCGAAAGGCCUCGCGCUAUUGGAGCGGCCGAUGUCGGAUUAGCGAGUUGGUGGGGUAAAGGCUUACCAAGGCGACGAUCCGUAGCUGGUCUGAGAGGACGACCAGCCGCACUGGGACUGAGACACGGCCCAGACUCCUACGGGAGGCAGCAGUGGGGAAUUUUGGACAAUGGGGGCAACCCUGAUCCAGCCAUGCCGCGUGCGGGAAGAAGGCCUUCGGGUUGUAAACCGCUUUUGUUCGGGAAGAAAUCCUCUGGGCUAAUACCCCGGGGGGAUGACGGUACCGGAAGAAUAAGCACCGGCUAACUACGUG